rnacentral:ribozyme from 1 species
AAAGUGUGCUCAAGCUGUGGACUCUGGCUUCAUCAGCGAGGCCGAACUCGACCACGACUUUCUUGCCAUGGAUAGUCAAAUUGUGAAAGAAGGCGCUCUACUUCGAAAGGGUAACGUGCUGAAGAUAAGCUCGAAAACAAACCACU